CAGAUGAAGACACAUGUUUGGCUGCCAACACAGUUAUCAGUGUGUUUAAUCGGAAGAUUGUGCGUGCAUCCAAAAAGGUCAUGUUGAUGUUCCUAGUGGAGUAUCCCUGGCUGUUCUGAGCCUUGACCGUCACAGAGUGGACCUCCUCUCGCCACUCAAAGCGGUAGGAGGACACCAGGCCUAUCCGCUCCUCAGUCACAAUGCCCCCAGAGGCCUGGUGCUGUACUACAAGGCCCUCCACACAGCUAUGGACUGUACCUUGAAGAGAAGAGUGACGUUAGUCUGGUUCCUUGCUGGAUCCUCCUGAAACACUCGCCAGAAAUCAGGACCCUGGUCAGGAGCUGAGAGAACAGAACAUAGAUAUUACAGCUCUGUGCAUGUGCAUGCUAGCAUGCACGCUUGUGUGUGUGUUUAUGUACCUAUGUCCUGAGGCUUUCAUUUUCUAUCAGAUCUAAACAUCAGAGAAGCUCAUAUUAAAGUGCUGGCUGUAGCACUCAAUAACAGCGCUUAGACAGACACCACGCAAGGUCACUGUUAGAUCAGGGUCAGAAAGAGCUUAUACCACACAACAAACACUGGAUAAUGACGGGUUUGAAAUGACCCAUCCAUUGUGGUUGUGAGAGUUAAUGUGCUAUUCAUACACAGUAGGUCAGACUUGAUAGUUGUGGUGUGCUGGCGCAAUUAUAAGAGAACUUUCAAGACAGCAGCUUAAUUCCCCUCAAAAGUGUAUUGCUGAUGCGUUUUGUCAAAGCAACUUUGUCAAAACUGUUAUGUACAAUACAUGUGUUAACUUGCUGAAUAGAUUUUUUUUCUUUAAUGAGACUAAAUUGUAUAAAUGCAGUUUCAAUGACAUAGAUGAGACGGAGACAUACUGUACACACCUCUGCU